UACGGAGGGGGCUAGCGUUGUUCGGAAUUACUGGGCGUAAAGCGCACGUAGGCGGCUUUUUAAGUUAGAGGUGAAAGCCCGGGGCUCAACUCCGGAAUUGCCUUUAAGACUGCAUCGCUAGAAUUGUGGAGAGGUAAGUGGAAUUCCGAGUGUAGAGGUGAAAUUCGUAGAUAUUCGGAAGAACACCAGUGGCGAAGGCGACUUACUGGACACAUAUUGACGCUGAGGUGCGAAAGCGUGGGGAGCAAACAGG
rnacentral:rRNA from 1 species